rnacentral:rRNA from 1 species
AGUGAACGCUGGCGGUAGGCCUAACACAUGCAAGUCGAACGGCAGCACAGUAAGAGCUUGCUCUUACGGGUGGCGAGUGGCGGACGGGUGAGGAAUACAUCGGAAUCUACUUUUUCGUGGGGGAUAACGUAGGGAAACUUACGCUAAUACCGCAUACGACCUACGGGUGAAAGCAGGGGAUCUUCGGAACUUGCGCGAUUGAAUGAGCCGAUGUCGGCUUAGCUAGUUGGCGGGGUAAAGGCCCACCAAGGCGACGAUCCGUAGCUGGUCUGAGAGGAUGAUCAGCCACACUGGAACUGAGACACGGUCCAGACUCCUACGGGAGGGAGCAGUGGGGAAUAUUGGACAAUGGGCGCAAGCCUGAUCCAGCCAUACCGCGUGGGUGAAGAAGGCCUUCGGGUUGUAAAGCCCUUUUGUUGGGAAAGAAAAGCAGCAGGUUAAUACCCCGCUGUUCUGACGGUACCCAAAGAAUAAGCACCGGCUAACUUCGUG